GGUCCCGUAGCGCAGAGGCAGGCGCACCGACACGGCAUGUCGGGCACGCCGGUUCGAAUCCGGUCGGGACCUCCC
rnacentral:tRNA from 1 species